GGGAGCUCUCCCAUAUGGUCGACCUGCAGGCGGCCGCGAAUUCACUAGUGAUUCGUAUUACCGCGGCUGCUGGCACAGAGUUAGCCGGUGCUUAUUCUGUCGGUAACGUCAAAACAGCAAAGUAUUAAUUUACUGCCCUUCCUCCCAACUUAAAGUGCUUUACAAUCCGAAGACCUUCUUCACACACGCGGCAUGGCUGGAUCAGGCUUUCGCCCAUUGUCCAAUAUUCCCCACUGCUGCCUCCCGUAGGAGUCUGGACCGUGUCUCAGUUCCAGUGUGACUGAUCAUCCUCUCAGACCAGUUACGGAUCGUCGCCUUGGUGAGCCAUUACCCCACCAACUAGCUAAUCCGACCUAGGCUCAUCUGAUAGCGCAAGGCCCGAAGGUCCCCUGCUUUCUCCCGUAGGACGUAUGCGGUAUUAGCGUCCGUUUCCGAACGUUAUCCCCCACUACCAGGCAGAUUCCUAGGCAUUACUCACCCGUCCGCCGCUCUCAAGAGAAGCAAGCUUCUCUCUACCGCUCGACUUGCAUGUGUUAGGCCUGCCCCCAGCGUUCAAUCUGAGCCAUGAUCAAACUCUAAUCGAAUUCCCGCGGCCGCCAUGGCGGCCGGGAGCAUGCGAC
rnacentral:rRNA from 1 species